GAUGAACGCUGGCGGCGUGCCUAAUACAUGCAAGUCGAGCGAACAGACGAGGAGCUUGCUCCUCUGACGUUAGCGGCGGACGGGUGAGUAACACGUGGAUAACCUACCUAUAAGACUGGGAUAACUUCGGGAAACCGGAGCUAAUACCGGAUAAUAUAUUGAACCGCAUGGUUCAAUAGUGAAAGACGGUUUUGCUGUCACUUAUAGAUGGAUCCGCGCCGCAUUAGCUAGUUGGUAAGGUAACGGCUUACCAAGGCAACGAUGCGUAGCCGACCUGAGAGGGUGAUCGGCCACCCUGGAACUGAGACACGGUCCAGACUCCUACGGGAGGCAGCAGUAGGGAAUCUUCCGCAAUGGGCGAAAGCCUAACGGAGCAACGCCGCGUGAGUGAUGAAGGUCUUCGGAUCGUAAAACUCUGUUAUUAGGGAAGAACAAAUGUGUAAGUAACUAUGCACGUCUUGACGGUACCUAAUCAGAAAGCCACGGCUAACUACGUG
rnacentral:rRNA from 1 species